rnacentral:rRNA from 1 species
AUGGACGCCGACGCUGCCUCCCCGUCGGACCAGCACAGGACGGUGUGGACGGAGCCGCCCAAGAGGCCGGCGGGGCGGAUCAAGUACAAGGAGACGCGCCACCCGCUGUACCGCGGCGUGCGGCGUCGGGGGCGGCACGGGCGGUGGGUGUGCGAGGUGCGCGUGCGCGGCACCAAGGAGACAAGGCUCUGGCUCGGCACCUUCCGCACCGCCGAGAUGGCGGCGCGAGCGCACGACUCCGCCUCGCUCGCUCUCUCCGGAAGCGCCGCCUGCCUCAACUUCGCCGACUCCGCCUGGCGGAUGCUGCUCGUCCUCGCCGCUGGGUCUUCCAGCUUCAGCAGCGCGCGGGAGAUCAAGGACGCCGUCGCCGUCGCUGUCGUAGCGUUCCAGCGGCAGCGCUCCAUCGCGUCCACGGCCGACGGCGAGAAGGACGUCCAAGGCUCGCCGACGCCGAGCGAGCUGUCCACGUCCAGCGAUUUGCUGGACGAGCACUGGUUUGGCGGCACGGAUGCCGGAUCGUACUACUCGCCGGGCAUGUUCAUGGAGCCGCCGGAGCGGCCUGAAAACCGCGAGCUCGGUGCCGGCGACGUGUAA